rnacentral:rRNA from 1 species
ACGGGUUUAAGUUUACUUAAACUGUCAGCUAAGUGGCGCACGGGUGAGUAAUAUAUAGUUAAUCUGCCCCAAAGAAGAGGAUAAUUGUUGGAAACGACUUGUAACACUCUAUAUGCCUUUAUUACAUAAGUAAGCAAGGGAAACAUUUAUGGCUUUGGGAUGAGACUGUACGGUAUCAGCUUGUUGGUGAGGUAAUGGCUCACCAAGGCAAUGACGCCUAACUGGUUUGAGAGGAUGAUCAGUCACACUGGAACUGAGACACGGUCCAGACUCCUACGGGAGGCAGCAGUGGGGAAUAUUGCACAAUGGAGGAAACUCUGAUGCAGCAACGCCGCGUGGAGGAUGACACAUUUCGGUGCGUAAACUCCUUUUAUAUGAGAAGAUAAUGACGGUAUCAUAUGAAUAAGCACCGGCUAACUUCGUGCCAGCAGCCGCGGUAAUACGAGGGGUGCAAGCGUUACUCGGAAUCACUGGGCGUAAAGAGCAUGUAGGCGGGUAGUUAAGUUGGAAGUGAAAUCCUAUGGCCCAACCAUAGAACUGCUUCCAAAACUGAUUACCUAGAGUAUGGGAGAGGUAGAUGGAAUUUCUGGUGUAGGGGUAAAAUCCGUAGA